rnacentral:rRNA from 1 species
CACGGGUGAGUAACGCGUAGGUAUCUAUCCUUGGGUGGGGGACAACUGUGGGAAACUACAGCUAAUACCGCAUGAUGACCGAGGUCCAAAGCUCGCGAGAGCGCCUGGGGAGGAGCCUGCGUACGAUUAGCUUGUUGGUGGGGUAAAGGCCUACCAAGGCGACGAUCGUUAGCUGGUCUGAGAGGAUGAUCAGCCACAUUGGGACUGAGACACGGCCCAAACUCCUACGGGAGGCAGCAGUGGGGAAUAUUGGACAAUGGGCGCAAGCCUGAUCCAGCAAUGCCGCGUGUGUGAAGAAGGUCUUCGGAUUGUAAAGCACUUUCGACGGGGACGAUAAUGA